rnacentral:rRNA from 1 species
GAUGAACGCUGGCGGCGUGCCUAACACAUGCAAGUCGAGCGAACAGACGAUGAUUUUGCUCCUCUGACGUUAGCGGCGGACGGGUGAGUCACACGUGGAUAACCCACCUAUAAGACUGGGAUAACUUCGGGAAACCGGAGCUAAUACCGGAUAAUAUAUUGAACCGCAUGGUUCAAUAGAGAAAGUCGGUGUUUCUGUCACUUAUAGAUGGAUCUGCGCCGCGUGAGCUAGUUGGUAAGGUAACGGCUUACCAAGGGAACGAUGCGUAGCCGACCUGGGAGAGUGAUCGGCCACACUGGAGGUGGGACACGGUCCAGGCUCCUACGAGAGGCAGCAGUAGCGAAUCUUCGGCAAUGGGCGAGAGCCUGACGGAGCAACGCGGCGUGAGUGAUGAAGGUCUUCGGAGCGUAAGACUCUGUUAUUAGGGAAGAACAAAUGUGUAAGUAGCUAUGCACGGCUUGACGGUACCUGAUCAAGAAGCCACGGCUAACUACGUG